CCUACGGGAGGCAGCAGUGGGGAAUAUUGGGCAAUGGAGGCAACUCUGACCCAGCAACGCCGCGUGAGUGAUGAAGGUCUUCGGAUUGUAAAACUCUUUAAGUGGGGACGAAGAAAGUGACUGUACCCACAGAAUAAGCCUCGGCUAACUACGUGCCAGCAGCCGCGGUAAUACGUAGGUGGCAAGCGUUGUCCGGAUUUACUGGGUGUAAAGGGCGUGCAGCCGGAGAGACAAGUCAGAUGUGAAAUCCACGGGCUCAACCCGUGAACUGCAUUUGAAACUGUUUCCCUUGAGUGUCGGAGAGGUAAUCGGAAUUCCUUGUGUAGCGGUGAAAUGCGUAGAUAUAAGGAAGAACACCAGUGGCGAAGGCGGAUUACUGGACGAUAACUGACGGUGAGGCGCGAAAGCGUGGGGAGCAAACAGGAUUAGAUACCCGGGUAGUC
rnacentral:rRNA from 1 species